GUGCUGAUGUAACUGGGUGACUCUUGGUUGUCUGUUUCCUAAAGGACCUUGGCCAUAGGCUUCUGGGCACGCUUCUGUAGAAACUCCAGGAUUCCUGCUGAGGUCCUUCAGAAUUCGAGGAAUCAAUACACUCUCAACCAACAGGCUGCUGGGAGCCAUGGAGGAUAAAUUAAUCACAGUGUGUCUGGAGCAGAGUUCAUGAUGGUGAAGGGAGGCAGGGCAGCAGGAACGAGAAGCUGAGAGCUCACAUCUUAAGCCACAGGAGCAGCCGCCUCCCCGCCCCCACCUCCCAUCCUGUAAAUGGAGCAACUGGAUUGAGAAACCGGAUCAACAGCUGAAGGCAUUUGGUGGCAGAGGUGAUCUUGUCAAGGGUGAGAAGAUCCAACUUCGAUCUGGGCCAUGCCUUCUGGCGGCAGCCUGCAUAAAAAGCACAGAGGAAGGACGCCUUUGCUCGUUGCCUGUCUGCCCUCACUCUCCCUGGCAAGUUCAUUCCUU